UGGGGAAUUUUGGACAAUGGGGGCAACCCUGAUCCAGCCAUUCCGCGUGAGUGAAGAAGGCCUGGUUGUAAAGCUCUUUCGGCAGGAACGAAACGGCGGGCUCUAACAUAGCCUGUCAAUGACGGUACCUGAAGAAGAAGCACCGGCUAACUACGUGCC
rnacentral:rRNA from 1 species